rnacentral:tRNA from 1 species
CCUGGUGGCUCAGAGUGUAAAGCACCUGCCUGCAAUGCAGGAGACCUGGGUUUGAUCCCUGGGUCAGGA